rnacentral:antisense_RNA from 1 species
GGAUUCACUUAGUGAUGGGGAGAAAGCCGAUGACGCAGAACAGGCCUGCUGCUUCCACAAGGCUAUGACUCCUGCAUCCAGGAUGAUGCCCAAGACCUCCCGGAAGCUGGCCCUGCAACGAGGAUCUGAGUGCACACAGUUCAUUUGGGAGGUGGUUCCAGAAAGCACUGGGUAGGGGCAAGAAAGGCAGCUCUCCUUGCCCAGCAUUUGGCCAGGGGGUUGGCCCACCUCACCAAUGUGAUUGCAUGUGAGUCCCGUCAACUUUAGAACUCAAUUACUCUCGUUUUGUGCAUGAAGAACGUGAAGUCCUAGUCCUAGGACUUGAUCCUUGUUCUGUCCAAAUAAAUCCCCAAGGCACUUUCUCAAGGGGAUGUUCUCUGGCGUGUUUGUUCCAGCUAUGCGCAUUGCUGUUGGAGGCUGGGUUGUGAGUCAGCAUCUCAGGGAAAGGUGGAUCAUCACAGCCGCCCUCCUGGUCCCAGACCACAGGCCACAUUCCCAGCCUCGCUGCCAUUGCAUGACAGAGAAUCCGUCAGCUCGGGAAACUGGAUGAAGCGGGCUGGGACUAAUACUCCAAAGUGCUGUCAAGCUAGUGUCCUUUGCUGGUGUUACGGUUGGAUUUCCUACUUUGCCAUUUGACUGUAAGGUCAGUGUCAGUGUUGGGUCUGCACCUGGAAGCCACUGAGGGAUGUAUAUGUCACAUCCCCUGGCAUUAGGAACGUGACGGACCUUGUCCUGGGUCUGCUAUGGGGAUGGUGACAAGGCAAAUCCCUCCUGCAGCAGGGCAUGCUGCUAACCCUGUGCGCAGCUGUGCCCUGGGCCGGGCCCUGCGCUG